CAGCAGCCGCGGUAAUGCGAAGGGUGCAAGCGUUACUCGGAAUUACUGGGCGUAAAGCGUGCGUAGGUGGUGGUUUAAGUCCGUUGUGAAAGCCCUGGGCUCAACCUGGGAAUUGCAGUGGAUACUGGGUCACUAGAGUGUGGUAGAGGAUAGUGGAAUUUCCGGUGUAGCAGUGAAAUGCGUAGAGAUCGGAAGGAACAUCUGUGGCGAAGGCGACUAUCUGGGCCAACACUGACACUGAGGCACGAAAGCGUGGGGAGCAAACAGGAUUAGAUACCCGUGUAGUCCCUGUCUCUUAUAU
rnacentral:rRNA from 1 species